GCCUAAAGCGUCCGUAGCCGGCUAUGUUAGUUUUCGGUUAAAUCCAUGUGCUUAACACAUGAGCUGUCGAAAAUACUGCAUAGCUAGGGAGUGGGAGAGGUAGACGGUACUCGGGAGGAAGUGGUAAAAUGCUUUGAUCUCUCGAUGACCACCAGUGGCGAAGGCGGUCUACCAGAACACGUCCGACGGUGAGGGAUGAAAGCUGGGGGAGCAAACCGGAUUAGAUACCCGGGUAGUCCCAGCUGUAAACUAUGCAAACUCAGUGAUGCAUUGGCUUGUGGCCAGUGCAGUGCCGCAGAGAAGUCGUUAAGUUUGCCGCCUGGGAAGUACGUACGCAAGUAUGAAACUUAAAGGAAUUGGCGGGGGAGCACCACAAGGGGUGAAGCCUGCGGUUCAAUUGGAGUCAACGCCAGAAAUCUUACCCGGAGAGACAGCAGGAUGAAGGUCAAGCUGAAGACUUUACCAGACAAGCUGAGAAGUGGUGCAUGGCCGUCGCCAGCUCGUGCCGUGAGGUGUCCUGUUAAGUCAGGUAACGAGCGAGAUCCUUGCUUCUAGUUGCCACCAUUACUCUCAGGAGUAGUGGGGCGAAUUAGCGGGACUGCCGCAGUUAAUGCGGAGGAAGGAGAGGGCCACGGCAGGUCAGUAUGCCCCGAA
rnacentral:rRNA from 1 species